GUAGACCCCGAUCUGGGGACCGGACGAGGGAGCCGUACCCGGCGUGCGACAAGACGGCCUUCG
rnacentral:ncRNA from 1 species